UGGGGAAUAUUGCACAAUGGGGGAAACCCUGAUGCAGCGACGCCGCGUGAGGGAAGAAGGUUUUCGGAUUGUAAACCUCUGUCCUUGGUGAAGAAGAUGACUGUAGCCAAGGAGGAAGCCACGGCUAACUACGUGCCAGCAGCCGCGGUAAUACGUAGGUGGCAAGCGUUGUCCGGAAUUACUGGGUGUAAAGGGAGCGUAGGCGGGAGUGCAAGUUGAAUGUGAAAUCUAUCGGCACAACCGGUAGCUGCGUUCAAAACUGCACUUCUUGAGUGAAGUAGAGGCAGGCGGAAUUCCUAGUGUAGCGGUGAAAUGCGUAAAUAUUAGGAGGAACACCAGUGGCGAAGGCGGCCUGCUGGGCUUUAACUGACGCUGAGGCUCGAAAGCGUGGGUAGCAAACAGG
rnacentral:rRNA from 2 species